rnacentral:rRNA from 1 species
CGAACGCUGGCGGCGCGUUUUAAGCAUGCAAGUCGAACGGUAGUAGAGUGCUUGCACUCUAUGAGAGUGGCGAACGGGUGAGUAACACGUAGGUGAUCUAUCAUUGGGGUCUGGGAUAGCCUGUGGAAACACAGGGUAAUACCGGAUACGACCUUUAGAUUGAGGUCUAGAGGGGAAAGUCGCUUAGGCGACGCCCUAUGCUGAGCCUGCGGCUGAUUAGCUAGUUGGUAGGGUAAUGGCCUACCAAGGCGACGAUGAGUAGCCGGCCUGAGAGGGUGAUCGGCCACACUGGGACUGAGACACGGCCCAGACUCCUACGGGAGGCAGCAGCUAAGAAUCUUCCGCAAUGGGGGAAACCCUGACGGAGCGACGCCGCGUGGACGAAGAAUGCCGGAAGGUUGUAAAGUCCUUUUCCUGGGGGAGAAUAAUGCAAGGAGGUAAUGCCUUGCAGAUGACGUGAACCAGGGAAUAAGCCCCGGCUAAUUAC